GAUGAAGAACGCAGCGAAAUGCGAUACGUAAUGUGAAUUGCAGAAUUCAGUGAAUCAUCGAGUCUUUGAACGCACAUUGCGCCCCCUGGUAUUCCGGGGGGCAUGCCUGUCCGAGCGUCAUUGCUGCCCUCAAGCACGGCUUGUGUGUUGGGCCUCCGUCCUCUUCCCGGGGGACGGGCCCGAAAGGCAGCGGCGGCACCGCGUCCGGUCCUCGAGCGUAUGGGGCUUCGUCACCCGCUCUUGUAGGCCCGGCCGGCGCUUGCCGACACAUCAAUCUUUUUUCCAGGUUGACCUCGGAUCAGGUAGGGAUACCCGCUGAACUUAAGCAUAUCAAUAAGCGGAGGA
rnacentral:misc_RNA from 1 species